CCUACGGGUGGCAGCAGUGGGGAAUAUUGGACAAUGGGCGAAAGCCUGAUCCAGCCAUGCCGCGUGUGUGAAGAAGGCCUUCGGGUUGUAAAGCACUUUCAGUGGGGAAGAAAGCCUUGGGGCUAAUACCCUCGAGGAAGGACAUCACCCACAGAAGAAGCACCGGCUAACUCCGUGCCAGCAGCCGCGGUAAUACGGAGGGUGCGAGCGUUAAUCGGAAUUACUGGGCGUAAAGCGCGCGUAGGCGGUCUGAUAAGCCGGUUGUGAAAGCCCCGGGCUCAACCUGGGAACGGCAUCCGGAACUGUCAGGCUAGAGUGCAGGAGAGGACGGUAGAAUUCCCGGUGUAGCAGUGAAAUGCGUAGAGAUCGGGAGGAAUACCAGUGGCGAAGGCGGCCUUCUGGACUGACACUGACGCUGAGGUGCGAAAGCGUGGGUAGCAAACAGGAUUAGAUACCCGGGUAGUC
rnacentral:rRNA from 1 species